rnacentral:rRNA from 1 species
UUAAGUAAGGAAGGGCGUACGGCGAAUGCCUUGCCACUCGAAACUGAAGAAGGACGCGCCAAACUGCGAAAAGCUCCGUGAAGCUGUAAGGAAGCGAAGAAGCGGAGGUGUCCGAAUGGGGGAACCCGGCAGCAGACAUGAGCUGUCAUCUGCAGGUGAAUACAUGGCCUGCAAGAGAGGUACCCGGCGAACUGAAACAUCUAAGUAGCCGGAGGAAAAGAAAACAACAGUGAUUCCCUGAGUAGCGGCGAGCGAAAGGGGAGAAGCCCAAACCGGUUGAAGGACCGGGGUUGAAGGACCAUGACAUGGCAAGAACGAGGAUAGGAGAACGGGAUCGAAAGCCCGGCCGAAGAAGGUGAAAGCCCUGUAACCGAAAUCCGAGUAAAGCCUAAUGGGAUCCUGAGUACGGCGAGACACGAGAAAUCUUGUCGGAAGCAGGCGGGACCAUCCGCCAAGGCUAAAUAUAAACGAGUGAGCGAUAGUGAACCAGUACCGUGAGGGAAAGGUGAAAAGAACCGCGGGAGCGGAGUGAAAGAGAACCUGAAACCGUAUGCCUACAAGAAGUCAGAGCCCGUUAAGGGGUGAUGGCGUGCCUUUUGUAGAAUGAACCGGCGAGUUGCGACAGACUGCGAGGUUAAGGAGGAAAGACCGGAGCCGAAGCGAAAGCGAGUCUUAAGAGGGCGAAAGUAGGAUGUUGCAGACCCGAAACCGGGUGAUCUAGCCAUGAGCAGGUUGAAGUUGAGGUGAAACUCAAUGGAGGACCGAACCGACUACCGUUGAAAAGUUAGCGGAUGACUUGUGGCUAGGGGAGAAAUUCCAAUCGAACCCGGAGAUAGCUGGUUCUCCCCGAAAUAGCUUUAGGGCUAGCGUCGGAAAGAACCUUAGUGAAGGUAGAGCACUGAAUGUGUGAUGGCCCCAUCCCGGGGUACUGAAUACAAUCAAACUGCGAAUGUCAUUAAGGAUGUCCGGCAGUCAGACUGUGAGUGAUAAGGUCCAUGGUCAAGAGGGAAACAGCCCAGACCGCCAGUUAAGGUCCCAAAAUACAGGCUAAGUGGAAAAGGAUGUGGGGAUGCCCAGACAACUAGGAGGUUGGCUCAGAAGCAGCCAUCCUUUAAAGAGUGCGUAACAGCUCACUAGUCGAGUGACCCUGCGCCGAAAAUGUACCGGGGCUAAGCCUGAUACCGAAACUGCGGAUUGUAGGAAACUAUAGUGGUAGGGGAGCGUUGUAUACGAGCAGAAGCCGUACCGUGAGGAGCGGUGGAUUGUAUAGAAGUGAGAAUGCCGGUGUGAGUAGCGAGAUGUAGGUGAGAAUCCUACACACCGAAAGCCCAAGGAUUCCAGGGGAAGGUUCGUCCGCCCUGGGUAAGUCGGGACCUAACGCGAGGCCGAAAGGCGUAGUGGAUGGAAAGCAGGCGAAAGAUUCCUGCACCCGUAUAUGGAGCGAAGGAGUGACGGAGACGGAUAGUGUGACCCUCUUAAUGGAUUGAGGGCGAAGCGAAGCGGCUGGUUACCAGGCAAAUCCGGUAACCAUAAGGCUAGAGCGUGACAGGUAAGCGAAAUCUUAGGAAAGUAGCGAAGCACAUGAUGACGGCUUCCAGGAAAAGCUUCUGGCAAUGCAUAUGCGGCCCGUACCAAAACCGACACAGGUGGGCAGGGAGAGAAUCCCGAGGUGAGCGAGAGAACUGUUGCCAAGGAACUCGGCAAAAUGACUCCGUAAGUUAGCGAGAAGGAGUGCUUAAGCAAUUAAGCCGCAGUGAAGAGGCCCAAGCGACUGUUUAACUAAAACACAGCUCUCUGCGAAGUCGCAAGACGAAGUAUAGGGGGUGACACCUGCCCGGUGCUGGAAGGUUAAGAGGAUCUGUUAAGAGCGAUCUGAAGCAGUGAUCCGAAGCCCCAGUGAACGGCGGCCGUAACUAUAACGGUCCUAAGGUAGCGAAAUUCCUUGUCAGGUAAGUUCUGACCCGCACGAAAGGUGUAACGAUUUGGGCGCUGUCUCGGCAGCAGACUCGGUGAAAUCUUAGUACCUGUGAAAAUGCAGGUUACCCGCAACUAGACGGAAAGACCCCAUGGAGCUUUACUGCAGCCUGAUAUUGAAUUCUGGUCAUACAUGUACAGGAUAGGUGGGAGACAAAGAGACGUGCACGCCAGUGUACGAGGAGUCGACGUUGGGAUACCACUCUUGUGUGACCGGGGUUCUAACCUGGUAUCGAGAACAGGUACGGGGAGAGUGUCAGGUGGGCAGUUUGACUGGGGCGGUCGCCUCCCAAAGAGUAACGGAGGCGCCCAAAGGUACGCUCAGAUUGGAUGGAAACCAAUCGUCGAGUGCAAUUGCAGAAGCGUGCUUGACUGUGAGACAGACAAGUCGAACAGGGACGAAAGUCGGGAAUAGUGAUCCGGCGGUGCCGAAUGGAAGGGCCGUCGCUCAACGGAUAAAAGCUACCCUGGGGAUAACAG